GGCGACAUGCACAUUCGGCCCUGCAAUUGUCGUCUUGUGCAUUCGCAAGUAUACAGAUAAAUCUGGUGUUGCGCUGCAGAGAUACCGAUGAAACUUGCGGUUGCGAUGCGUUCGAAGAAAAGCUGAGUAUAAGCUGUUGCAACGCAUCCGGCCAUGUAACAGGAGCCCCCAAUGAAAAGUAAUUUGUGGCGCGCUCAUCAAUCAACAAGAAAAAUUAGAAUUAGCAUCUUCCCAAAGUUAUUUUACAUCUUUUAUUGUGUUUUACAUUUUACAUCUUUUAUUGUAUUUCAAGCGGCUUGAACUGCGUCUUCGAAUAACAAACCAAAUAAAAUAAUCGCUGGCGACCUCGCAUUUUGCGAGUAUGUUGACAAGCAUACUGUGAUCUAAAAGGUGCAUCUGCACAAAGAUUUCACCGACGUCGAACACCGGAGACUCGUCGGGCGUAGGGACUCGGUGGACAGCCAACUGUCUAUCCGAUAACCUCCUGACCGCUGUAAGCAGAAUAUUGAUAAACUAGCGGGUUGUGUGGCUUGAUCAAGGAUGUAUCUUUUUUUCACGAACUCGGAAACACACGCAUAUUCGCGCAUCCUCGUUUUGACGAAAUGAGGAUUCAGAAUGAAUUUCUGCCUUGCUGAUAUUCAGAUUGGUAAACAAUAUUGGUAAGCGCCGCGCGCGUACGAUUCAAUCAUCCGAUUCGCGUGAAGACCGCAUGACGGUAGUGCGCGGGUAUAUGAUAUGGAACGAUGUCCAGGAUUUUGCGUUUGACACGGUACGUAGUUACCGGGUACUGGAUAUGGAUAUAAAUAUCGUCUCGUGAAGGUUUUUGCUCUUCCUUCACUUUUCGGGUAUUGCUAAAGUCUGUGACUGUGAAUGGGUGGGAGUUGGGACUGUGAGUCUACGUGACUGGUACCUUAUGUGACUGUGACCGUCUGUGACUGUGUUGCACUCGGCCUGGGACCGAUUGGGACUGUGACCCUUUGGGAGUGGGACUAGUGGUUGUAGGAACCCGCCAACCGACUGACGGCCGACAAUUCACCGCAAACAAAUAUGUGCACUUAGUUUUACAGGUUUUCCGAAUUUUCCUCUCUGCUUUCAUGUUUUUCUUGUGUUCCUAGUGAUUUCUUCUUAUGUUUUCAUAGGUUUCGUAUGUUUGCUUAUGUGGUAUAUGUACAGCAGUGGACUGUACAGUGUCGUUGUACUCUAUACCUAGCAACCGAUAUACAAGUGCUUAUUGUCUUACACAAUUAUUGUUAUUAGUUGUUAGUCGUACUAGCCGCGAGUUGGUUAAUAAAAUAUAUUAACCGCUAAGUACACCACAGCUAAGGUUUUAAAUUUUUAAUACUUAUGUUUUGGUUAUAAUGACUUAAUUUAAUGCAGUUCCCCUAAUUUUCGGUUUAUGAGGUUUUUUCGUUUUUACGGGGUUGGAAAGCCUAGUAAAAUUUUGCCCAGUAGGUGGAAUCCCUGUUCGUAGAGAUCGCCUUGCGACGAAUUGGCUCUGCGUCGAAACGACGCCACGACGAAAUGUCUCCCAUCGGGAUGCCCUGCCGGCCAACUGUCCCGCGACGAAAUUUCGCGCGACGAGGAUAUAAGAAUCGGUAGUCGCGUUUUGUGGAUCAUGCCACUACGCAAAGGCCAAAACGGAAAAUCACAGGAAAAGUUGUCGCGCAACAUUCGGGUAGGUGCGUUUUCCUAUAGUCUACUGCAGUAUGACUUUUCGUUGCUGGUAAACAUAGCAAAAGCUGUGAACGUAGAAACGUGAAGAUGGGAUAGUUAGACGGACCUUGACUGAUCAGCAAAUUGUAAUAUUUGAUGAGGAAGUAAACUUAAGAGGGUCGCCGACUCGCCGGCGGCCGCAUUUGAACGCAAAUUAUCUGCACGUACCGUCUGAAUUGAUUUUAUUGAGAAAUUGAUAUAAACGUCAUUGGAUAGCGCUUUUUUAACGGAAAUACCAAAAAUUCCAUUUGCCAACUGUCGUUUUUCUGAUUCCUUUUAAACCGGCAUCUCAAAAAGUCGUUUUAUUUUGUAUACGUAAUUGGUACAUAAGUACAUACGUACGUACAUAAGUACCGAUGGCACCUACAACUAGUUAUUAAAAACAACAAAAACAUUUUGAAAAAUUGAUACUUCCUCGUUAAAUAACUACAUGCCAAAAAAUAAUUCAGAAAAUUCAUUUUAUCAUAUUUAUGAAUUAUGUAGCAAAAAUAAAAAGCCGGAAAUGCCGACAAAAUAGAUAAAUAAAAAAUAAAUUUGUUUUCAGUUAGAAAUUGUCUUAUGUAAGAAAACCAAAGAAAAACUGUUUAAUGACUUGAUAAAGGAGGCACUUCAUCUUUAACGCUCGGUAAAAAGUACAGCGGAGCGCUAAUAAAAAAAUCAAACUUAAAAAUCAAAACAACCAAAAUCCGAAAUCUUCGAUUGCGACAGCCGCGGUAAAGUGUGUUCUGCCAUGAACAACAGCAUAAUAAAACUGAAAAUCUUGCCAAAAGUCAUUUCUCUCGUUUUUUCAGAAACUUGGCGUAAAAAAGUUUUUUCAUUCUUUUUAUUUGCUACUGAGUGCUUUGGUGAACGGUCAACAUGGACUUUGUUUUGUAACUUCUGUUCGUUUAAGGGAACUUUUUGAAGUAAAUGCCAUUCCAUCUUUCUCGCAUAUUUUCCAAUACUGCCCAUGUAUUCUGCGGUGCCAUGCAUCUGACAGAGUCGAUAAGCCCGAGGAAUUGGUGGCACUGCCGCCACUGCGUGGAUCCCAAACUCUGCCAGCGCAAUUUAUCUGGUAAUCUGUGUACAACUGUCACCACAUAUUAAUCAUGUCGAGUGUACAGAGACCACCUACGAGAAAUUUUAAAAAUCAUCACCCAAGAUAAUCCGGCCAUAGAACGGCAGCAAUUAGGAAAAUCAGUCGCGAUAUGCAGAUGUUGAAAGAUGUCGAAAGGGAUGAGAACAGCUCGGUGCGUUUUGAAACAUAUUUUUUUAUUAGGCAAUCGCUUUCGUUUUAUUCGGCAAUCCCCAUCAGAAUAUCAGAAAAUGCCGAUGCGAACGUACUACUUCGCCGUCAAAGUUUUAACAGUAAAAGAAGUGCGAAAAAUAAUUUAGUUCGACUACAGUUAACGUGUUUAACUGGUACAUGUUUAACCCGUUCCCGACCAUCCCUGUCAAAUGGCAGGGUGGCGGACUUUAUUCCCCUUCCAGCUCAUAAUGGAAGAAACUUAUGUUCAAUGAUUUUAUUUCACAGCAGGGAUGUUGCUGGCUGUUGAAAAAAAUUCGACCAUCAAAUGAAACCCGUAUAGGGCACACGACCAUUGACCAAAGAUGACCGAAAUUGCACUUUUUGGGUUCGUAGAGGUCUUGGCUGCUCCUGCAGCUUUCCCAUUACCCGAUAAUUUACAGAUAAAUCACUCAAAGAGACCCGGUGGCUGACAUUACAAAAGCACCAAAUGUUUUGAAAAAUAACUGGACAUUGGGCAAACAGGGUCAUUCAAAAAUUUCCUGCCAAGUUUGACAGGAAUGGGCAUGGCGCUACUUUAACAAUAAAACUAUAAAUUCUUUAUAAAAUCUCAGAUACUUGGUAAAAUGUCCCACAAGGAAUCAAAAAAUCAGACAAAAACAGUGCAAAAAUGCCUUUUGCUUCGGUGGUCAUCAAACUGACCAAUGGUCAACAACAGAAAAAUUUCCAAAAUUCAUGUUUUUUGUCGGAAAAUUUAGGCUGUUACUUUCAAAUAAAUUGUGAAAUGUAAGAAUAAAUGUGACAUUGCAAAACUGAAGCUGUUUGAUAUCUUUUUUCAUCACCGUUCUGUGGGUUGCUCUGAAUAGCCCUAAACAUAACAAAGAACUGCAUGAUGGUCUUCACCCAGUUCAGGAUAUGAUGUAAUGGCAUGAUUUGCAUCACUGGGAGCGUAAAAUUAUAUGAAAUGUAUCUACAUACUACCGUUUUAAUUCUGUGCAACAUCUCCACAUUCUAUGAGUUGCAUCUUGCAGUCAGUUGUUGUGGUGUAAAUGCGUGAUAGCGGAAAUGACCUUGCCGGUAGUGCCGGUGCCGAUGUGCUUUACAGGGUUUAAUGCAAGUUAUGCAAUAAGGGAAGCUAUCGCCGAAUUUUUAGGGGCAGGCAACUUUUAGACUGCAUAAUUUACUUAUAGUUCAGUAGUUGUACCAUCUAAAAAAUUAAAAAGUUCACUAAAAGUUAAAUUAAAGCAGGAAACGGCAAAUAAGUACAUAUGUACUGCUGUUACUGUUGCAGUGUAUCAUGCAGUAUAACGGGAGUAUAACUGACAAAAACCGCAUAUCUAAUUGUGCCGACAUAUUCUGUUGUUUUUGUGUGACCUAGGGUCAUUUUGUAUUGUCCUUAUAUAAACAAAGUGGAUUUUGCACCUUUGUUAGCCUAUGGCCGCUCGGAAACAUAUUUUCGUGCAAUUUUACCGUUUCUUGACCACUGGUCAUUUCGAUGACCAUAACAGUAUCUGACAAAUGUAGAUCUUGUCAAAACGGUUUUUUUAAGUAGUCGUGCUUCUCAGUGCGAUCUCCCCAUCGUUUCCCAUAAAUUCCGGCGUUUUACCUGCCAAAUGGCAUGAUGCCCAUCCCUGUCAGUUUGGCAGGCUAUCGCCCUGCUUGACCUAUGGCCAAGAAAAUUCCCAAAAAAAUAAUUUUUCUUGAUUGAAUUAUUUGAGGAAGACCCACAAAUUUUUAGAUUGGUAUUCAUGUUCCUUCUGGUAGCUGACUUUGGUGGGUUAAAAUGAACGACAAAAUUUUAAAAAUUAAAGAAACCUGGUGGAAAGUGGAAACGUGAUUCAGUGUAAGAACUUCCUUCGUGUUAAUUUACGUUAUCAUGCAAAAUAUGCACUGGAUCGGUUCAUAAUGAGAUUUUCGGUACAUCUCUGUGCGUUUAUAAACCUUUUGGGAUUUUUCUCAUCUGUAAAUCUACAACCGGAUGUUGCGCACAAACGGUUUUCACGCCAAUGUAUAGAAACCUUUCGGCUUAAAACUUCAUAAAAAAGCCAAGAAAGUGUUUUAGAGUGAGCGAAAGCCAAAGUUUUGGUGCAUGCACUCGAAUUAAGUACCAUGUUCCGGCACAUUUUCCUUACAAGCUAAUUAUUUCCACUGAGUUAUUCGCACAACUACGAGAUGCAUAUGGUUUUAUAGAGAAAAAUCAGCUCUGUUAAGUAGUAUUUUUUAUAGCGGGGUGGUUUUUAUACUUAUCGUUUAAAAAGCAUCUAAAGUUAGUAUUGCAAAUCGUCCAGUGACGUGUCUGUGCGCACUUCAAAGAUGCCGCCCAUCGCGCAUCCGAGAUACCGAUCUUCUGCAGCGCUGAACGCGGAUAUGCUGCAUGGCGUGGUUAUCAGCUCGGCAGAUCAUAUCCGGAUUCAGUGGGAGCUGGUAUACGGUAUGCUGUAUAUUCUGAGCACUGAACACCUGAACGCGGUGUAAUUUUUAUUUGUGAUUCUAAAAAUUAGCAAACUUAUAAUUUUAGGAUUUAGAACCUUAAAUGCACGUGAAAAUAUCUACAAUCUAUUUUGUGAGCUCUUUGUAAACUCAAAACUAACGCAAAUAAAAAAUUCUUUAUCGCUAACGUAGAUGUCGUACAGGCAGGCCAGCGCUCAAUUUUCACUGAAGAUCGGUAUCUCGGAUGCGUGAUGGGCGGCACCUUUGAAGUGCGCACAGAGACGUCACUCGACGAUUUGCAAUACUAACUUUAGAUGCUUUUUAAACGAUAAGUAUAAAAGCCACCCCGCUAUAAAAAAUACUACUUAAAAGAGCUGAUUUUUCUCUACAAAACGAUAUGGGUCUGGUAUCUGGGCGAAUAACUCAAUGGAAAUAAUUAGCUUGUUAAUAUUAAUGAACAUUAGUGUGUGCCACUGUGUGGUUAUCAGGAUUUUACGUAUGUUUUCUGAGUUAGAGAGACAAUUUUGUAACCGAAUGCUCGGUGCUUCAAUACUAAUCCAAAAUCAAUCGCAGAUCCGUGCAUCCAGGACAGUCAAUACUGAUCUGCGUGAAUGUUGGGUUCCUGCAAAUUUUAUUUUUCUGAACCCCAUCCCGGAAGUCGGAAGAUGACACAUUUUGCUCUAUGCAGUCAGCUGUCAUGUACUUCCGUAAAAGUACGCAGUUCAUUCCGUUCUUCCUGGAACUAGAAGGGACGAACAACCCAGCACAGCAUGUUUGAGAUGAGUAUACACGCCAAAAGCGAAAAAUGGUGGCGAUAUCUAUCUGCUAUAUCGCCAAGGAAAAUAAUUAAUCAGGAUAGCAACAGGUUACGGUACUCGGUGUCAUCUCUAAUUGGGUACUUAGUCACACUUAAGAAUAUCAGCCAAAGGUAUAUAAGCCGACGCAGUCGGGUAUGAAAUUUUAUUAAACGUAACAUAUGGUAAUAUGGCAUACCGUGUACGAAUUACAUAAUAUAGCGUGUACAUUAAUUGGCUAGUACCUCACUACUCGUAUUACCACACUAUCUCCACAAGUCCUGUCGCAUCUCCACACGGACCAACACGGAAAUGGAAACCUUCUUAUCUUUGGGCUUUCUCAUGGGAUUGGCGACCCUUGCGUACGGAGCAGGCGAGAGCAAAGGUAAGCUGCUGGAAGUCAAAUCCGUCGUCAUUGACUGUGAUCAAGAGAUCACAUACAUCGCCAACAAAUCGGCGGACGAGUGCGGUAGGAAAUGCCAGAAAGACGCCACCUGCCGCAUGGCAUCCUACAACAUGCGGGACAGAGAAUGUGGUCUCGUUCCAUUGAAUUUCGACUGCCUUUUCGGUACAUCCGGCUUUGACGAUUACGAAGUCCUUGGAUUUACCACUAAAACAUUCAUCAAACGCGACAACGCCUACCUGGAUACGGAGCUGCUGAGGGAUAAGAAAGGUCGAGUGGUGCUGCAGGGCGCCCAUGGUAAACGGUCGGUGAUAUCCGCUGAUAAAUGUAAAUCUCUGUGCGAUGUCCAUCCCAACUGUCAAGCGGCAUAUUACACGGAUACCGUGGGGAAGUCCGGUUGCCAACUGAUGGCCCAAGCCGAACCGGUUUACCCAGUUACCAACCCGACUUCGACGAGCAUUGUGUUCAUCGCCGUGUAAGGCCGGCAUUUGAGGGAGUCAGGUGGAUGGAUGAUAAUAAUAAACAUUUAAUAUGCUAAUCUGGCCAUAGCCUGGUAGCAGUACGUCCGGCUGUAAGAUUGUAGAAACGGUUCCCAAUUUGGUUGGGUAGCUUCUAUCUCUUAAAAUUUUGAAUCAAAGCAAUGAAGUACUGAAUUUUUCAGAAUUAACAAAACAGAUUGUCAGUAACGUCUGGUCGGAUAUCUUCAUUUACACGAGCUGCAUAAUGGCUGUACCGGCCGCAGCUCGAUCAUAAUUAUAACGCUCACACCGCUGUUGAAUUGCUGCUUAACAAAAUUUAAUUUUCGAUCACUUUUUCGUGGCUUGGAUGCAAAAUGGUAGCGUCAUAUUAAUAAGCGAAAUAUUUUCUGAGCGGAACUUCCACGCAGGUAGUUGUACACAUGCGUCGCACUGCACUACGGCAAACCAACAUUUUUCAGUGCCUGGCACAAGGUGUUUUACCACGUUUUGGUAAAUUUGAGAAGUCUUGCGUUCAACAAGUGAACAAUCCACAAAAGUAGAACGGCUGAAAAAAUUAUUUACAAGACUGCACUACUAGCUGAACUGAUUGAAACGGUCAUCGAGGGUCAACGUACAAACUUCUGCUUCCCAGAACUCAGUUCAAAAAUACUGACACCUUACGUUACUCUGUAAAACAGUUUCACUUUUGAAAUUCGCCAGGACUGUGUACCAAAAGUAACACAGUUUUAGCUCAUAUUCGGCUUAAUAAAUUACUACAGAGUAGAUUUUCUAUACCACGGCAUUUUUGUACCCAGAACAUAAUACGGGAAUUAAAAAGGUAUUUUGUACCGUAUACACAUUACACUAUACAUACAUUAGUAGGGCAUCUGCAUAUUAUACGGCACUGCUGGAAUAUCCAUGGAAUACUUAUUGGACAUCGCAAAAUUAACAGAAGCAAGUGCAGCAAUACUUCGCAAGAGUGCCGGUUCGAAAAUCUUCUCAUUUUGUUUUGCUCAUUGAUAUGUGACACCAGCAUUUGCGCAUAACAUGCGCAGUUACAAUAAGUUUAUUUGGCAGACUACAAGCCGCAUCAGUCAACUCUUUAAAUUGGAUGUAUCUUACAGACAACUGGAAUUUCUUUGGCUUGUUGGGAAACAUUUUACCUUUCUUUUGGCUUAGUUUUAUGAGAUUACACUACGCGGCGACGUACACAGUGCUCAUAUAGGAUGGUCUGGGAAUUUGGUGGACUGCACCGGCUUUCGCCAGCAGUUUGCAACUGGACUGUGCCAUGGCGGUCGUAUAAUCCGCUGCUUUACAGGUGGGAUGGAUAUCGCACAGGGAUUUGCAACUAUCAGCCGGUAUCCCAUUGCCGCUGAGGAGCACCUUUUCACCUUUCUUAUUCUUCAGCUCUUCGGGAUUUUCCACAUAUGCGUUGUCGUGUUUGGUUAAUUUCUUGUAGGCAAAUCCAGUUAGCUCGCAAUUGUCGAAAUCUGCUCCACUGAAAGUGUAAUCUGUAGUUGGCGGGAUCAGUUGGCACUUUUUGUCAACUGACCCCGCCAAGGUUAACAAUUAAAUUUAGCUCACCCAUCAUAUCCGAAUACGAAAUUUAUACUUGUAUUGUUUUAAUUAUGAAGCCCGUAAUAACAUAUUUUGACGUUUACUUACGCUAUCACUUGCUCCGUUUCCCAGGGUAGCUGUAAUUAUAUGCAAAGUUAGUAUAUUAGUCGAAUCGUGAAAGACGUCGUGCACGAGGAUUUUUUCCGUUGAACUAGAGCGGAAGUUCGGGCCAAAUUAACGAAAACGUAACUUUCUUGACCUUUUAUCAAAUGCAACAAAAUUAUCAGAACGAAGCGGUCGCCUUACCGGGUAUUAGCGGGUAUACCUAUAAUGGAUAUACAGUUAUACUAUAUUACUGAAUAUCUUACGGUUUACGCGAAUUUUGUUUGAGCCUGCGUCGGCUUAUAGAACUCUGGUUAAUGUUAAUUUUUCACGUAAUAACUCCAUUACUAAUGUUGACACCGAGUAUCCUAACCUGUUGCUAACCUGAUUGCUUAAUUAAUUCAUUUCUCGCUGCAGACAUCGAAACUAUUUCGCACUGAGACAUUACUUGAGGCACUUUUGCAUUGCGAAAAUGCUGUAUUUUGUUGUUUGUCCCAUCCGGUUCCAGGCUCCAGCUGUAAGGAAACGAUGAAUCGGUUUUGCAUAUUAGUGUAAGGGCGGGACGCCCCGCCCUCCUGAGUAGCUAUUCGCUGUUUCUGGGGAUUUCCACCCCGCACAUUGCUGCGCUGUUUUGACGGAUCUGCAGCACAGUUGCACUGGCUGCAGAAUCCUUCCUCUUUAGUCUGGUGUUGCUGCGCCAUGGUGCGCAUUAGAUUCGGCAAUAAAGCCUCAUCCGGGUUCACGCU